rnacentral:rRNA from 1 species
GACGAACGCUGGCGGCGUGCCUAAUACAUGCAAGUAGGCCGCAGUUGCGAACGGGUGAGUAACGCGUAGGUAACUACCUAUUAGAGGGGGAUAACUAUUGGAAACGAUAGCUAAUACCGCAUACUAGUAGAUGGACCUGCGUUGUAUUAGCUAGUAGGUAGGGUACUGGCCUACCAAGGAAAAGAUACAUAGCCGACCUGAGAGGGUGAUCGGCCACACGGGGACUGAGACACGGCCCAGACUCCUACAGGAGGGCGCAGUAGGGAAUCUUCGGCAAUGGGGGGAACCCUGACCGAGCAACGCCGCAGGAGAGAAGAAGGUUUUCCGAUCGUAAAGCUCUGUUGUUAAGGAAGCGGUACUUAACCAGAAAGGGACGGCUAACUACGUGCCAGCAGCCGCGGUAAUUC